AACGAACGCUGGCGGCAGGCUUAACACAUGCAAGUCGAGCGCCCCGCAAGGGGAGCGGCAGACGGGUGAGUAACGCGUGGGAAUCUACCCAUCCCUACGGGAUAACACAGAGAAAUUUGUGCUAAUACCGUAUACGUCCUUCGGGAGAAAGAUUUAUCGGGGAUGGAUGAGCCCGCGUCGGAUUAGCUAGUUGGUGGGGUAAUGGCCUACCAAGGCGACGAUCCGUAGCUGGUCUGAGAGGAUGACCAGCCACAUUGGGACUGAGACACGGCCCAAACUCCUACGGGAGGCAGCAGUGGGGAAUAUUGGACAAUGGGCGCAAGCCUGAUCCAGCCAUGCCGCGUGAGUGAUGACGGCCUUAGGGUUGUAAAGCUCUUUUAGCGGGGAAGAUAAUGACGGUACCCGCAGAAUAAGCCCCGGCUAACUUCGUGCCAGCCGCCGCUGUAACAC
rnacentral:rRNA from 1 species